UCCCCGGGCGUCGAACAGUCAG
rnacentral:siRNA from 1 species